rnacentral:rRNA from 1 species
ACGCAAUAGAUACCCAGGUAGUCCACGCCCUAAACGAUGUCUACUAGUUGUCGGGUCUUAAUUGACUUGGUAAACGCAGCUAAACGCGUGAAGUAGACCGCCUGGGGAGUACGGUCGCAAGAUUAAAACUCAAAGGAAUUGACGGGGACCCGCACAAGCGGUGGAUGAUGUGGAUUAAAUUCGAUGCAACGCGAAAAACCUUACCUACCCUUGACAUGGAAGGAAUCCCUGAGAGAUCGGGGAGUGCUCGAAAGAGAACCUUUACACAGGUGCUGCAUGGCUGUCGUCAGCUCGUGUCGUGAGAUGUUGGGUUAAGUCCCGCAACGAGCGCAACCCUUGUCAUUAGUUGCUACGAAAGGGCACUCUAAUGAGACUGCCGGUGACAAACCGGAGGAAGGUGGGGAUGACGUCAAGUCCUCAUGGCCCUUAUGGGUAGGGCUUCACACGUCAUACAAUGGUACAUACAGAGGGCCGCCAACCCGCGAGGGGGAGCUAAUCCCAGAAAGUGUAUCGUAGUCCGGAUUGUAGUCUGCAACUCGACUGC